rnacentral:rRNA from 1 species
UACGUAGGGGGCAAGCGUUGUCCGGAUUUAUUGGGCGUAAAGAGCGUGUAGGCGGCCAGGUAGGUCAGCUGUGAAAACUCGAGGCUCAACCUCGAGACGUCAGUUGAAACCACCUGGCUAGAGUCCGGAAGAGGAGAGUGGAAUUCCUGGUGUAGCGGUGAAAUGCGCAGAUAUCAGGAAGAACACCCGUGGCGAAGGCGGCUCUCUGGGACGGUACUGACGCUGAGACGCGAAAGCGUGGGGAGCGAACAGG